UACAGAGGUCUCAAGCGUUGUUCGGAUUCAUUGGGCGUAAAGGGUGCGUAGGCGGCGCGGUAAGUCGGGUGUGAAAUCUUGGAGCUUAACUCCGAAACUGCAUUCGAUACUGCCGUGCUUGAGGACUGGAGAGGAGACUGGAAUUUACGGUGUAGCGGUGAAAUGCGUAGAUAUCGUAAGGAAGACCAGUGGCGAAGGCGGGUCUCUGGACAGUUCCUGACGCUGAGCACGAAGGCCAGGGGAGCGAAACGGG
rnacentral:rRNA from 1 species